rnacentral:rRNA from 1 species
AACAAACGCUGGCGGCGUGCCUAAUACAUGCAAGUCGAACGGGGUAGCAAUACCCAGUGGCGCACGGGAGAGUAACACGUGGAUAAUCUGCCUUUGAGUGUGGAAUAACCUUUCGAAAGAAGGGCUAAUACCGCAUAAGACCACAAGAACUGCGGUUCAAGGGGUCAAAGGUAGCCUCUAUUUAUAAGCUAUCGCUUAAAGAUGAGUCCGCGCCCGAUUAGCUAGUUGGUGAGGUAAUGGCUCACCAAGGCAUUUAUCGGUAGCUGGUCUGAGAGGAUGACCAGCCUCACUGGAACUGAGACACGGUCCAGACUCCUACGGGAGGCAGCAGUAGGGAAUAUUGCGCAAUGGGCGAAAGCCUGACGCAGCGACGCCGCGUGAGUGAUGAAGGCCUUCGGGUCGUAAAGCUCUGUUGUACGGGAAGAAGUUUGCAAGGUUAAUAGUCUUGCAAAUUGACGGUACCGUAUAAGAAAGGACCGGCUAACUUCGUGCCAGCAGCCGCGGUAAGACGAGGGGUCCUAGCGUUGUUCGGAAUCACUGGGCGUAAAGAGUUUGUAGGCGGCCCUGUAAGUCGGGUGUGAAAUCCCAUGGCUCAACCAUGGAAGUGCACUCGAAACUGCAGGGCUUGAAUAUGGAAGAGGGCAGUAGAAUUCCAGGUGUAGUGGUGAAAUACGUAGAUACCUGGAGGAAUACCGGUGGCGAAGGCGGCUGCCUGGUCCAAUAUUGACGCUGAGAAACGAAAGUGUGGGGAUCAAACAGGAUUAGAUACCCUGGUAGUCCACACCGUAAACGAUGGAUACUUGGUGUUGGAGGUAUUGACCCCUUCAGUGCCGAAGCUAACGCGUUAAGUGUCCCGCCUGGGAAGUACGGUCGCAAGAUUAAAACUCAAAGAAAUUGACGGGGGCCCGCACAAGCGGUGGAGCAUGUGGUUCAAUUCGAUGCAACGCGAAAAACCUUACCUGGGUUUGAAGUGCUAGUGAAUAUGGUAGAGAUAUCAUAGGCCUUCGGGACACUAGUAUCAGGUGCUGCAUGGCUGUCGUCAGCUCGUGUCGUGAGAUGUCGGGUUAAGUCCCAUAACGAGCGCAACCCCUGUGUUUAGUUGCCAGCAUUAAGUUGGGCACUCUAAACAGACUGCCGACGUUAAGUCGGAGGAAGGUGGGGAUGACGUCAAGUCCUCAUGGCCUUUAUGUCCAGGGCUACACACGUGCUACAAUGGUCGGUACAAAGGGCUGCAAGAGUGCAAACUGGAGCAAAUCCCAAAAAACCGAUCUAAGUUCGGAUAGGAGUCUGCAACUCGACUCCUUGAAGCUGGAAUCGCUAGUAAUCGCAGAUCAGCAUGCUGCGGUGAAUACGUUCCCGGGCCU